GCAGUAGCUCAGUUGUAAAGCAUUUGAUCUGCAUGCAGAAAUUCCCAGGUUCAAGUCCUGGCAUCUCCA